rnacentral:rRNA from 1 species
GAGAAAACAACAGUGAUUCCGUCAGUAGCGGCGAGCGAACGCGGAAGAGCCUAAACCGAACUGGUGUGAUAGCCCUGUGGCGUUGCCAGUUCGGGGUUGUGGGAUUUGAUAGAGGGAACGCAGGAACCCUCACAGAGUUACAAAGCUGCUAGGUAGUGGAAGCGUCUGGAAAGUCGCGCCAUAGAGGGUAAUGGCCCCGUACACGAAACUUAUGCAGCCUCUGAUCGAACACCCGAGUAACGCCGAAUCCGAGAAAGUCGGCGUGAAUCUGCGAGGACCACCUCGUAAGGCUAAAAUAUUACCUGUCGACCGAUAGUGAACUAGUACCGUGAGGGAAAGGUGAAAAGUACCCCGGGAGGGGAGUGAAAUAGUACCUGAAACCGUUGGUCUACAAGCAGUCAAAGCAGACUUCGGUCUGCGAUGGCGUGCCUUUUGAAGAAUGAGCCAACGAGUUACGGUAUGUGGCAAGGUUAACCCGUGAGGGGCAGCCGGAGCGAAAGCGAGUCUUAAUAGGGCGUAUAGUCGCAUGCUGUAGACCCGAAGCC